GAUGAACGCUGGCGGCGUGCCUAACACAUGCAAGUCGAACGGCAACACGCUUAGCUUUUUCGUUUGUGGGUAGCGGUGGGCGGUGGGGUAACAAAUCGAUAGUAACCUUCUCUUUCUUGGAGGAUAACGGAAUGAAAGUUAGGCUAAUACCGGAUAUGCUGGACCGGUGGGAUCAUGGGUCCGUGACAGCUUUUGUGUCUGUAUGAGAUGGUUUCGCGGCGGAUUAGCGAGUUGGUGGGGUCACGGCGUACCAAGGCGGCGAUGCGUAGCCGAACUGAGAGGAGGAUCGGCGACACUGGAACUGAGAAAAGGUCCAGAAGCCUACGGGAGGCAGCAGUAGGGAAUAUUGGGCAAUGGGCGGAAGACUGAUGAAGCAACGCCGCGUGGGUGAAGAAGGCGUUCGGGUUGUAAAGACCUUUUUUUGGGAAAGAAAAGCGGCAGCCUGAUAUGUGGAUGGUUUGACGGUACCUAAAGAAGAAGCACCGGCUAACUACGUG
rnacentral:rRNA from 1 species